AACGUCUUGGCCCUGAACUUAUCAUUAUUUUUGACCCCCCUUACACAUGCCAGUCUCCGCAUCCCUGUGCCUACAGCCAACCAACACUAACUCUUGAGCCAGUAUCAGGCCCGUCCUAAACAGACAGCCCAAAACGCUUAGCUUCGCCACCCCCACACGGGAUACAGCAGUGAUUAACUUUGGGCAAUAGGCGCUCUAAAUAAGCCUGACCCAAGGAGGGCCACACGGGCUGGUAAACUCCGUGCCAGCCACCGCGGUUAUACGGAGAGCCAAAGAUAAGGAUUCCCCCGGCGUAAAGAGUAACUAGGACUAUACUAAUAAAAGAGACUAAAACCCAAGUGCUUAGUAGUAGAAUACACCCACUAAAAACAGAUCACCAGUCUCCAAUACACAGCACACUGACAUUACGACCGCUGAGGCACAAACUAGGAUUAGAUACCCUACUAUGCUCAGCUGUAAACUAUGGUAGCUAAACUACAAGCUACCCGCCAGAGAACUACAAGCGAAAAGCUUGAAACUCAAAGGGCUUGACGGUGUCCCACACCAACCUAGAGGAGCCUGUCCCAUAAUCGAUAAUCCACGCUUCACCCUACCUGCCCUAGUCCCCACUCAGCCUAUAUACCGCCGUCUCCGGCCUACCUAAUGAUAGACCAACAGUAGGCCCCCCUGGCAAUCCCAGAUACGACAGGUCAAGGUGUAGCUAAUGGGCAGGUCAAAGAUGGGCUACAUUUUCUUAAUCAAGAAAAAACCAACAGCGCUAUGAAACCCCGCCACAAAGGAGGAUUUAGCAGUAAGCCUGAAAUAAACCACGCCAGACUGAAGUAUGUCCUGGGCCGCGUACACACCGCCCGUCACCCUCACCGUUAGCACCUCAUAAACAUAACUAAUACACCACUAGCUUUCCAGGUGAGACAAGUCGUAACAUGGUAAGCGUACUGGAAAGUGCGCUUGGUAAA
rnacentral:ncRNA from 1 species